AUAGUCGCACAUUCAUAUUAUAAAACUCUGGGUAAAAGUAAGUUAGGUAUCCUUUUCUGGGAGGUGGUUACAGCUAACUGCUUAGCAGCCUGUGGUUUCUGAACAGAGAAGGUCCAUGUACAUGCUCACUCUUUCAUUACUGUCUUAAAUAAAUAGUCAAAAGGAUUUUACUCUCCUCUCAUCUGUUCUGCAAAAAAACAAACUCUAACAAUGUCUACAUCUGUUCUAAGGUGUGAAUCAGCUCCCAGAAGGACCACGAAGGACAGAAAAAUCAGGAGAGGAGUGCCACUAAAGGAUGAGCAACAACCCGUGCAACAGCAGCCAGAGG